AUACUGAAGAGUCGCAAAUAAGACGAAACUAAUGUGCUGUAU
rnacentral:hammerhead_ribozyme from 1 species